rnacentral:rRNA from 1 species
GAUGGACGCUGGCGGCGUGCCUAAUACAUGCAAGUCGAGCGAACGGACGAGAAGCUUGCUUCUCUGAUGUUAGCGGCGGACGGGUGAGUAACACGUGGAUAACCUACCUAUAAGACUGGGAUAACUUCGGGAAACCGGAGCUAAUACCGGAUAAUAUUUUGAACCGCAUGGUUCAAAAGUGAAAGACGGUCUUGCUGUCACUUAUAGAUGGAUCCGCGCUGCAUUAGCUAGUUGGUAAGGUAACGGCUUACCAAGGCAACGAUGCAUAGCCGACCUGAGAGGGUGAUCGGCCACACUGGAACUGAGACACGGUCCAGACUCCUACGGGAGGCAGCAGUAGGGAAUCUUCCGCAAUGGGCGAAAGCCUGACGGAGCAACGCCGCGUGAGUGAUGAAGGUCUUCGGAUCGUAAAACUCUGUUAUUAGGGAAGAACAUAUGUGUAAGUAACUGUGCACAUCUUGACGGUACCUAAUCAGAAAGCCACGGCUAACUACG